rnacentral:rRNA from 1 species
ACCUGAAGUAAGCAAGGCUACCCGCUGAACUUAAGCAUAUCAGUAAGCGGAGGAAAAGAAAAUAACAAUGAUUACCUCAGUAGCGGCGAGUGAAGAGGUAAAAGCCCAAGAUGUUAAUCCGUAGUGAAGCUAUGGAAUUGUAAUCUAUAGAAUUUCUCAGAAGGAGAGACUUGUCAUAAGUUCUUUGGGACAAGACACCAUAGAGGGUGAAAGUCCCGUCUUUGGAUGAGUCGAACCGUAUGAGACGUUUCUAAGAGUCGGGUAGUUUGGGAAUGCUGCCCUAAGUGGGAGAUAAACUUCUCCUAAGGCUAAAUAUAAGAUAGGAGACCGAUAGCAUACAAGUACUGCGAAGGAAAGAUGAAAAGAACUUUGAAAAGAGGGUUAAAAGACUUGAAAUCGUUGAAAAGGAAGCAGUAAAAGAGAAAUUAUAGCCGGCGUAUUAAGUUAUUAGUCUAAGCUUGGGGGUGGAGAAUACUUCAUAGGGUUCUUGCCUCAAAGUGAAAACUAAUGGCGUUGCGCAGGUGAAAGGCAAAAUGGCAUCUUCUUGUAAUAAUAAGGCCUAAAGUGUAUUCUGAAGCUAAAAAUUACAAGGGGGUGUGAGGGAUUAGCUAAUGAUUUUGCCAAAAUGGCUUUUACUGACCCGUCUUGAAACACGGACCAAGGAGUCUACCCAUUACGCGAGUGUUAGGGUGGAAAAACCCAAACGCAUACCGAAAGGGAUGUAAGAUGUGAAGCGAAAGCCGCAACAUCAACCAAUCUUGAUUCUUUGAUGAAGGACUUGAGUAAGAGCGUAAUUGGUAGGACCCGAAAGAUGGUGAACUACGGUUGAGUAGGGUGAAGCCAGGAGAAACUCUGGUGGAGGCUCGAAGCGUUACUAACGUGCAAAUUGUUCGUCAAACUUGACUGUAGGGGCGAAAGACUAAUCGAACCAUCUAGUAGCUGGUUCCCUCUGAAAUUUCUCUCAGGAUAGCAGGAAAAGAUUAUGCAGUUUUAUCAGGUAAAGCUAAUGAUUAGUGGACUCGGGGGUCUGAGACUCUCGACCAAUUCUCAAACUUUAAAUUGGUAAGAACUUGUAGUUAUCUUCAUUGAACUACAGGGAUGAAUGCAUUGUUCUUAGUGGGCCAUUUUUGGUAAGCAGAACUGGCGAUGAGGGAUGAACCUAACGUUGAGAUAAGGUGCCAAAAUUCACGCUCAUGAGACACCAGAAAAGGUGUUGGUUAGUAUAAACAGCCGGACUGUGGCCAUGGAAGUCGGCACCAGCUAAGGAGUGUGUAACAACUCACCAGCCGAAUUAACCAGCCCUGAAAAUUGAUGGCGCUAAGCGUGAUACCGAUACUCAACCAUUAAGGCAAAUAGAAGCUUUAAUGAGUAAGAGGGCGUGAAUACUGUGUAGAAGGCUUGGAUGUGAAUCUGGCUGGAACAGUAUUUAGUGCAGAUCUUGGUGGUAGUA